rnacentral:rRNA from 1 species
AUACGUAGGUGGCGAGCGUUGUCCGGAAUCAUUGGGCGUAAAGAGCGCGUAGGCGGCUUUUCAGGUCCGACGUGAAAUCUCGGGGCUCAACCCCGAACGUGCAUCGGAAACCGGAUUGCUAGAGUCUGGGAGAGGAGAGUGGAAUUCCUGGUGUAGCGGUGAAAUGCGCAGAUAUCAGGAGGAACACCAGUAGCGAAGGCGGCUCUCUGGAACAGUACUGACGCUGAGGCGCGAAAGCUAGGGGAGC